CGCAGAGUGACGGACAGGGCUAACGCCCUUUCCGGUAAUGCGGCUUAGAGCGGUCACAAGCCCCGC
rnacentral:ribozyme from 1 species